ensembl:snoRNA LOC120100484 small nucleolar RNA U13
AUUCUUUUCUAUUUUGGUUCAACAGUGUUAUGCCUGGGUAUCCAGGCCAUUUUGUGACAUGUGGCUACAAACCUUGCUAUAGCAUCAGCACAUUACUCCACUGGUA